rnacentral:tRNA from 1 species
GCCCGAGUAGCUCAGUCGGCAGAGCAAUUCAUUCGUAAUGAAUAGGUCAGGAGUUCGAAUCUCCUCUCGGGCU